UAAAAAAAUUAUAUUAAUAAGAUGACGGUUUAUAUAUAAGGGUUGACGUAUAAAGUUCAUAAAUACGACGGUAAUUUUAACUUUACGACGUGGUAAAUUUUAUUAUACAAAGUUAAUUGAACAAACCAACGUGGUUAGUGUUAGAGAUACCGUCGUAGUACGCUUCAAGAAAUAAGUCGAUAAAUUUAUCUUUACCGUCAUUGUACAUGCAUUUAAUAUGGCGGUAGUUUGUAAUUUACUAUCGUGGAUUGUUUUGAAAUUAUACGGCGCCGGAUACGAAAACUUGGUCGUGU
rnacentral:lncRNA from 1 species